rnacentral:antisense_RNA from 1 species
UUGUUAACGACAUUGCUCACAUUGCUUCCAGUUUUAGCAGGCCAACCACUUUGAGUUGGCCUUUUUUU